ACAUCAGUCAAGACAACCUUCUCCUGAAGUAACUACUGUGGGACCUUGUGAACCAGCAGUCACCGGCAGGUAUUACAAUUGUACCAUUUUGAACUAAACGGUGAACUUGUGAUAGCCAUAUUUUCUCCAACCACAUCGGUUCCUCCCAAUGUGUAUGGGCGAUUUGGAAACAAUGACUCCUAGAGAGAGAAUGGAAGUGUAACAGAAAGAGAACCAUGACUCAGAAAUCACUGUGCUGAAGCUGAAGCCAAAGUAGAAUUUGGAUCAGACGCUUCAUAGAAACCAGGUCGUAUGAACACAUGGUGAUGUAGCCACUGCCUACGAGCUGAGAGAAGAGGCCCCAGAAUGAAAUCCAUCCCAGUGGCACCAUGAUUUUCAACUGCCAGAACUGAAGAGAUAAUAUGCAAAGACAAGAAGUUAACCACAUUUCAGGAGAAUAGAAAGUCUGUUGGUGGAAUCAUAUAAGGCAAUGAUAUGCCAAGUCAAAUGAAUUAAACAUGAGCUAACUACUAGGAACAGAGGAUGGAAGAAAGGCCAUGAACAGUUUCCAUGCACUAAGAAAGAGUGGACACUGGAGAAUAGUCCCAGUCCUGGAAAGAACAUGGAAGCCAGAAUAAAGGGAGACAAAUAAUAAAUCUAAGUUUGACCUUCUGAAGCAAAGACUGUUGAAAGCACAUUUUGGCUAAGUAUGUUCAUAUAUUCAGUCAACAACAUGACGUAUACCAAGCGGCCACUGACCAAGUAUUCUUGAGACAUGUUUUGGAGAAGAAGAAAUGAUUCCUUAGGGUGGCUGGUUCUCUUUGUAGGGGGAUGCCAGGAAGGAUACUGGACUUGAAGACAAAGGAACCUGUAAACUAUGGAAAACGUGCACUUGUUCAACUCCAAAUAUGAAGUUACCUCUCGCAAACUGGAAAA